rnacentral:tRNA from 1 species
GUCUCUGCAGUGCAAUAGGUUAGUGCAUUUAGCUGUUAACUGAAAGGUUGGUGGAUCAAGCCCACCCAGGGAGG